AUGUCAACAAAACUCAAAACUACAACCAACCUUUUCCAUGGACACAUCCUCAACUACAGCUUCCCUCGUUACAACUUAAGCUGCUCAUAUGUGUCUACUCAAGCAUUCCAAACCAGAAAAGUUGCUGCUAGCAGCUUUCUUGUUUUCUGCAACUCCCAGAUCACCAAAAGUGGAAGAAAUGGUGAUCUCAAACAAGCAGAGUCGAUAUUCAAUCGCAUGCCAUCUAAGGACACCAUUACCUGGACUGCCAUGCUCACUGCAUACGCUGAAAAUGGCCAAACCAGGUUGGCACGCAAGAUGUUCGAUGAAAUGCCCCAACGAAACGUAGCGUCGUAUAAUGCGAUGAUGACAGCUUAUAUUAGGAGCAAAGGUAAUGUAGAUGAAGCUUAUCAGUUGUUUUAUGUAAUGCCUGAGCGUAAUGCCGUGUCUUAUAUUGUAAUGAUCACUGGUUUCGUAAAGGCGGGGAUGUUCGACCAGGCUGAGAGGAUAUACUGUAGUUUGCCGGUUAAGUGGCGAGAGCCAGUUUGUUCAAAUGUGUUGUUAAAUGGGUAUCUGAAGGCUGGGAGGAUUGAAGAGGCGGUGAGAGUUUUUGAGGGAAUGUCAAAGAGGAAUGUGGUUUCUCAGAGUUGUAUGGUUGAUGGGUAUUGCAAAGUAGGAAGGAUUGGUGAUGCUGGAAAUCUGUUUGAUGUGAUGGUGGAGAGGACUGUGGUUACUUGGACGGCAAUGAUUGAUGGGUACAUGAAGAAUGGAAUGUUUGAGAUGGGUUUUGAGUUGUUUUUGGAUAUGAGAAGGGAGGGGAUAGUGGAGGUCAAUUCCAUUACCAUGAGCAUAAUGUUUGAAGCUUGCGGUGGUUUUGGGAGACGUGGAGAAGGGUUUCAGAUGCACGGGUUAGUUUCUCGAAUGGGAUUCGAUUAUGAUGUCUUUUUAGGAAAUUCUGCUAUCAUUAUGUAUUGCAGGUUUGGUUUUGUAGAUGAAGCUACUAAGAUAUUACAUAUGAUGAGCAACAAAAAUAUAGUUUCCUGGAAUUCCUUAAUUGCAGGUUAUGUUCAAUGUGCCGAAAUUGAAGUAGCUUUUAAACUGUUUGAGAUGAUGCCUGAAAAGGAUGUAGUUACAUGGACGGUCUUGAUAUCAGGAUUCUCAAGCAAGGGCAUGACUAAGAAAGCCAUCCAAUUGUUUUUGUUGAUGCCUGACAAGGAUGAUGUUGCUUGGACUGCUCUAGUUUCAGGUUUUGUAAAUAAUGAGGAAUAUGUGGAGGCUCUCUGUUGGUUUAUCAAGAUGCUUCGGAGCACAAUCAAGCCUAAUCCACUUACUUUGAGCAGUGUGCUCAGUGCUUCAGCCAGUUUGGCCGCUUUAAAUGAGGGGAUGCAGAUCCAUUCUUUUUCACUGAAGGUGAAUAUGGAAUGUAAUUUAUCUGUUCAAAAUGCUCUGGUCUCAAUGUAUUCAAAGUGUGGAAAUGUCAUUGAUGCCAGUCGGAUCUUCACAAAUAUCGUUUCACCCAAUACUGUUUCAUUCAACUCCAUGAUUACUGGCUUUGCCCAAAAUGGUUUUGGGGAAGAAGCCCUGAACUUGUUUUGGAGCAUGCAGAAUGAAGGUUGUGAGCCCAACCAAAUCACGUUUCUGGGUGUUCUUUCAGCUUGUGUCCAUGUUGGAUUAGUAAAAGAAGGACGGCAGUUUUUUUAUUCGAUGCAAUCAUUACACAACAUAGAACCAGGACCAGAUCACUAUGCUUGCAUGGUUGAUCUCCUUGGACGAUCUGGUUUGCUCGAUGAAGCUGUUGAGUUGAUUUAUUCAAUGCCAUUUGAGCCACAUGCUGGGGUUUGGGGAGCUCUUCUUAGUGCUAGCAGGACUCAUUUACGUCCUGAUCUUGCAGAGCUUGCAAGUAGGCACCUGAUCAAAUCGGAGCCUGAUAAUGCAGCCCCUUAUGUGGUUCUAUCCAAUAUAUAUUCUUCUUUAGGGAAAGUGAAGGAUGAAGACCAAGUGAGGAUGACCAAGAAAACAAAAGGGGUAAAGAAGAGUCCAGGCUGCAGCUGGGUUACAUAGAAGGACAAGGUUCAUUUGUUUCUUGCAGGAGAUCAAUCCCAUCAAGACUUCCAAUAUAUUGAAGUAAUUCUCUGGAGGAUCCUUCUCUGGAUCAUAACAAUGGAAAUGGGACAACUAGCUGGAUCGUCCAAAGGUGAUCAGUCUUUGAAUUGUUUUCUGCAUUAG